rnacentral:rRNA from 1 species
CUCAGGAUGAACGCUGGCGGCGUGCCUAACACAUGCAAGUCGAACGGAGCUGCUUUGAUGAAGUUUCGGAUGGAUUAAACAGCUUAGUGGCGGACGGGUGAGUAACGCGUGGGUAACCUGCCUCACACUGGGGGAUAACAGUUAGAAAUAGCUGCUAAUACCGCAUAAGCCGCACAGUUCCGCAUGGAACAGUGUGAAAAACUCCGGUGGUGUGAGAUGGACCCGCGUCUGAUUAGCCAGUUGGCGGGGUAACGGCCCACCAAAGCGACGAUCAGUAGCCGGCCUGAGAGGGUGAACGGCCACAUUGGGACUGAGACACGGCCCAAACUCCUACGGGAGGCAGCAGUGGGGAAUAUUGCACAAUGGGGGAAACCCUGAUGCAGCGACGCCGCGUGAGUGAUGAAGUAUUUCGGUAUGUAAAACUCUAUCAGCAGGGAAGAUAAUGACGGUACCUGACUAAGAAGCACCGGCUAAAUACGUG